rnacentral:lncRNA from 1 species
GCGUUUUCUGCAAUAACAUAUUUUCCAUUGAUGUAUUUUAGGUGUCUGUUUAACCGUAAUGCUCUUUGUGAUCAUGGUGCCAAAAUAUAAUGAAUUGGCCCAUUCUACCUAGAAAGGCCUCUCCACCAGUUUCUCUUGCCCCCUGUUAAAAUCCUCUUCCUCCUGCAGGAUCCAGCUCACACCAUAUCUCCUCCGGGAAAUGGUCCCAGAUCCUCCCAGGAGAUUUCUUCUCCGUCCCUCUCGCCACUUCCCAUUUCAGGUCUUCUGCCUCUGCUCCGAUCCGAGUUCACGUUAUACUCCAGCUAGUGUUAGUGCCUGUCUGCAAAAUUAGGCUAUGGGGCUUGGAGGACAAAGAUGUCCUCCUUUCUGGACUCCUGCCGCUCCUAGAAGAGUGUCUGGCACAGUAGAAGGGAGCCAUCACCUGAGGAUGAUGAACGGUGGAUGACCGCCAAGCCUUCCCAGCCCGACAGAAGCCCACCCAUUCCUGUCGGGGGUACUUCUGGAGCUCUUCCAGGUAGAGUAUUAAUACGCAAGAUCUCCUGCUGGCAGACUCAACAGAAUCUUUCUGGCCGUGAAGUGAAGUCCAAACCUGUAAAAGUGUACCCCCAGAAGAAGAGGAUGACAAAAGGCAGAAGGUGGACAGGAAAAGCCUGGUAAGCAGGAUCACUCUUAGAGUUACAUCUCCAUUGUUCUAUUUCCCCAGUGGGCAUUAUUAUGCAUUUCCCCUUAAGCAUGAGGCCAUGUUAUAGUCUGUGUUUAGCUUUUACUAGUUGCAUGGAUGAACUCACUUAAAAAUAUAGUAGGAUUACAUUCUUGUAUUGUUCAUUGCAGCUACAUAACUGAUAUUUUAUAUAUUGCAUCUUAAAUCUCCUUCUGGAAAUGUAACACACUUAUAACCUCUAUAAUUGGUGUCAUUGUUGACAUUUUUAUUUUCCCUGAAAACAGAUUUGUGAAGUUGUCUCCCCUUACCCACAGUUUCACUUUCUGUGGUUUCACUUACCCGUAGUGAACCACAAGUAGGCUGGAAGCGGAUGAUCCUCCUUGUGACAAAUCAGUGGAAGGUCAAAAACAGCCUAACUUUACGGUCGCAGUGCCUACGUCACUCACCUCAUGUCAUCUCAUCUGUCAGCAUUCUGUCAUCUCACAUCAUCACAAGGAGGGUGAGUAAGUACAAUAAGGUAUUCCGAGAAAGGGAGAGAGAAAGAGACCACGUUCAAAUCACUUCUACUAGAGUACGUCGUU